rnacentral:rRNA from 1 species
AUUGAACGCUGGCGGAAUGCUUUACACAUGCAAGUCGAGCGGCAGCGCGGGGCAACCUGGCGGCGAGCGGCGAACGGGUGAGUAAUACAUCGGAACGUACCCUGUCGUGGGGGAUAACGAAUCGAAAGAUUCGCUAAUACCGCAUACGACCUGAGGGUGAAAGCGGUGGAUCGCAAGACCUCGCGCGAUAGGAGCGGCCGAUGUCGGAUUAGCUAGUUGGUGAGGUAAAGGCUCACCAAGGCGACGGUCCGUAGCUGGUCUGAGAGGAUGAUCAGCCACACUGGGACUGAGACACGGCCCAGACUCCUACGGGAGGCAGCAGUGGGGAAUUUUGGACAAUGGGCGCAAGCCUGAUCCAGCCAUUCCGCGUGAGUGAAGAAGGCCUUCGGGUUGUAAAGCUCUUUCGGCAGGAACGAAACGGUGGGGGCUAAUAUCCCUUGCUAAUGACGGUACCUGAAGAAGAAGCACCGGCUAACUACGUGCCAGCAGCCGCCGUAA